AGAGUGAACGCUGGCGGUAGGCCUAACACAUGCAAGUCGAACGGCAGCACAGUAGGAGCUUGCUCUUACGGGUGGCGAGUGGCGGACGGGUGAGGAAUACAUCGGAAUCUACCUUUUGGUGGGGGAUAACGUAGGGAAACUUACGCUAAUACCGCAUACGCCCUUCGGGGGAAAGCCGGGGACCAGCAAUGGCCUGGUGCUGAUAGAUGAGCCGAUGUCGGAUUAGCUAGUUGGUGAGGUAAUGGCUCACCAAGGCGACGAUCCGUAGCUGGUCUGAGAGGAUGAUCAGCCACACUGGAACUGAGACACGGUCCAGACUCCUA
rnacentral:rRNA from 1 species